rnacentral:rRNA from 1 species
UUGGGAAAGCGAGCGGCGGAUGGGUGAGUAACACGUGGGGAACCUGCCCCUAAGUCUGGGAUACCAUUUGGAAACAGGUGCUAAUACCGGAUAAUAAAGCAGAUCGCAUGAUCAGCUUUUGAAAGGCGGCGUAAGCUGUCGCUAAGGGAUGGCCCCGCGGUGCAUUAGCUAGUUGGUAAGGUAACGGCUUACCAAGGCGACGAUGCAUAGCCGAGUUGAGAGACUGAUCGGCCACAUUGGGACUGAGACACGGCCCAAACUCCUACGGGAGGCAGCAGUAGGGAAUCUUCCACAAUGGACGCAAGUCUGAUGGAGCAACGCCGCGUGAGUGAAGAAGGUUUUCGGAUCGUAAAGCUCUGUUGUUGGUGAAGAAGGAUAGAGGUAGUAACUGGCCUUUAUUUGACGGUAAUCAACCAGAAAGUCACGGCUAACUACGUGCCAGCAGCCGCGGUAAUACGUAGGUGGCAAGCGUUGUCCGGAUUUAUUGGGCGUAAAGCGAGCGCAGGCGGAAAAAUAAGUCUAAUGUGAAAGCCCUCGGCUUAACCGAGGAACUGCAUCGGAAACUGUUUUUCUUGAGUGCAGAAGAGGAGAGUGGAACUCCAUGUGUAGCGGUGGAAUGCGUAGAUAUAUGGAAGAACACCAGUGGCGAAGGCGGCUCUCUGGUCUGCAACUGACGCUGAGGCUCGAAAGCAUGGGUAGCGAACAGGAUUAGAUACCCUGGUAGUCCAUGCCGUAAACGAUGAGUGCUAAGUGUUUGGGAGGUUUCCGCCUCUCAGUGCU